GGCUUCCGUGCCUGCAGAUGUCU
rnacentral:miRNA from 1 species